rnacentral:rRNA from 1 species
GAUGAACGCUGGCGGCGUGCCUAAUACAUGCAAGUCGAGCGAACGGACGAGAAGCUUGCUUCUCUGAUGUUAGCGGCGGACGGGUGAGUAACACGUGUAUAACCUACCUAUAAGACUGGGAUAACUUCGGGAAACCGGAGCUAAUACCGGAUAAUAUUUUGAACCGCAUGGUUCAAAAGUGAAAGACGGUCUUGCUGUCACUUAUAGAUGGAUCCGCGCUGCUUUAGCUAGUUGGUAAGGUAACGGCUUACCAAGGCAACGAUGCAUAGCCGACCUGAGAGGGGGAUAGCCGACACUGGAACUGAGACAGGGUCAAGACGCCUGAGGGAGGCAGCAGUAGGGAAUCUGCCGCAAUGGGCGAAAGCCUGACGGAGCAACGCCGAGUGAGUGAUGAAGGUCUUCGGAUCGUAAAACUCUGUUAUUAGGGAAGAACAUAUGUGUAAGUAACUGUGCACAUCUUGACGGUACCUAAUCAGAAAGCCACGGCUAACUACGUG